AUACUAUACAUCUUAUCCUCACGGCAUCACACAGUCCUCUAACUCUCUCAGCUCGAGCCUGAUCCCGUCCCUGCCGCUUCCCGUCCAUAGACGGCGUCGCCGCAUUCUUGUCUCCCCUCCACGGCGUCGGCCGGCCCCUCCUCUCCCAGCCAUCUCUCCUCCAUGUCGCGCGCCGAGCCCGUCCUCCCUUCCCUCGAUGGCUUCGUCCGCAUCCUCCUCCGACUGCCACGGUGGCUCGAUUGGUUCGAUCCACCGCCAUCCACGCCCGACAGGUUAUUCCGACGAUGGGGCGGCGGCAAAGCUUAGCGCGAUGACAGAGCCUUCCUCCAGCUCUACCAAGAAACCCUCGCUCUCCGUCCGUCUUCCUCCCUUUGCCAGCACCACCUAGCGUCGCCAUGGUCGGUGGCCGCGACCACCAACAAGAGGAAUCGCGAGGCGGCGGCGGCGGCACCAAGGGGAAGCCGCAGCCCGUCACUGCCAAGGAAAAGCGGGUCACAGCUAAGGAAGUGUCGGAGUCGAGGAAGCCCGACUACAACCUUAAGAAAGACAUCGAAGUACUAUGGGGAAAGAUGAUAGGUCGUCAUUUGAGCAAGGAGGAUAUAAUCAAGCUAGUUACCGAGGCCCUCCGUAAAAUGGAUUGGAAAUAUUUGGAAUUUCUGGAUCCCAUGUAAACGCAUCUGUUCUUCAACUAAGUUGCUGACACUCAUUCUUUAUGAAUGCGUUGCAUAUGGUGUUUUGGUACUUAUUCUGAUAGCCACCAUUUUUUGUCAGACAUGUGUGUAGUGGUUCUCACACUCAAGAGAGUGGCAAGGUUAGGACGCAUAUUAUCAGAAUCUUGAAGAAGCAGAUUAUGAAGCUUGAUGUCAGUGAUUAUGGAUGCCUUGUUCUAUUUGAAGAGCUGACAAAGCAGUUAAAGGAAAUCAUAUUGAUAAGCUUAAACAGGUCCAUCUUUGACCAAGUAUAGGACGGGCAGAUGUCGCGAAAGGAAUACUCAUGGUUUCUGAAGACUGACCAUGCUCCCUCGAGUACUACGCAGCAACAAACUCAGUAAAAAGAGGGCUCAGACAUGGCGACAAGAAUGAAGGUGGAGGGAAAGGAGUGGAGAGAAAGUAUUCUGGAGGUUGAUUUGAAUCCCCGGGUAUGUGGUUAUGCAUGAGCUGUGGAAGCAAAGGUGUGUGUCGGCUGGUUAUGCAUGAGCUGUGGAAGCAAAGGUGUGUGUCGGCUGGAGCUGAUUUACGGGGCUGUCAUUUGGAUGGUACCAAACUGUAAUAAUACAGACUCCCACUCAAAAUUUCACUGCACCAAAGGCUCUCGUCAGGAUGGCAAACCUAGGGAGUUCAGGCACCAUGAAACAUAACUUCCUUUGCCAUCGGAGAGAAAGAAGACGGUAGGCGCGCUCAGGAGAUGACGCAGCAACAACCGUCGAGCGGAGGUUGUGUUUGGAGGCGACCAGCAGAGGCUGCAGCUCCCACAGCUCGCGUGCGAACGAUGUGGCCGGACGACGAUUGAAGCGGCGUUUCUGUUUUGGCGGCGUGCUUUCGCGUGUGGAUGGAGCUCGUACGCCAGGAAGAACUGGCGUCUUGAUGGAGCUCGUACGCCAGGAAGAACUGGCGUUCGUUGGCGGGUCGAAGAAGUUUGAUUUUUGGUCGAUGGACCUCGUCCUCGUUCGUGGGUUGCGGAGCUGUUUUUUUGUUGACUGGGCGCGAUCGUGGGGUUCCAUGGACUUAUCGUUCGUGUGUUGAACUGUGGAUCUCGUACGUGGGCUGAGUUGUUGUAUUUUUUUUUGCGGGCGCUGAGUUGGUGUUUUUUCGUA